rnacentral:lncRNA from 1 species
CGUGUGUCAUUUCACAUCUUGGCAUUAUAUAUCUUUGAAAUAUAUUUGACCCACGUGAUGCAGCAAUCUGUGUGAUGUCACUAUUACGAGAUAAACCUGUUGUUUCUAAAUCAAAGAUAAUGAAUUCUUCAGAAUCAUUUAUAGUAAGACGAGAAGGUAUUUGCUGAAUAUCAGAUAUUGCAUCAUUCACUUCUGUUUCAUUUUCAUAGGUG